AUGGUGACGGAUUGUGAAGGUUGUUCCUCCUUAUUGGAUUGGAGGGGCCGCUGAUCAGUCCCUGGAAAUAGCCCUCCAUAAGAUCGUACCCUAAACCGACACAGGUGGACUGGUAGAGAAUACCAAGGCGCUUGAGAGAACUACAUUGAAGGAACUCGGCAAAAUACCUCCGUAAGUUCGCGAGAAGGAGGCCCAGUUUCUACGCAAGUAUUGGCUGGGGGCACAAACCAGGGGGUGGCGACUGUUUACUAAAAACACAGGGCUCUGCGAAGUCGCAAGACGACGUAUAGGGUCUGACGCCUGCCCGGUGCCUGAAGGUUAAAAGGAGGGGUGAGAGCUCCGAAUUGAAGCCCAGGUAAACGGCGGCCGUAACUAUAACGGUCCUAAGGUAGCGAAAUUCCUUGUCGGGUAAGUUCCGACCUGCACGAAUGGCGUAACGACUUCCCCGCUGUCUCCAAUGUAGACUCAGCGAAAUUGAAUUGCCUGUCAAGAUGCAGGCUUCCCGCGGUUAGACGGAAAGACCCCGUGCACCUUUACUACAGCUUCGCACUGGCAUCAGAAUUGUGAUGUGCAGGAUAGGUGGUGGGCUUUGAAACCGGAACGCCAGUUUCGGUGGAGCCUCCCUUGAGAUACCACCCUUCGCACUUUUGAUGUCUAACCGCGGUCCGUUAUCCGGAUCCGGGACCCUGCGUGGCGGGUAGUUUGACUGGGGCGGUCGCCUCCUAAAGAGUAACGGAGGCGCGCGAAGGUUGGCUCAGAGCGGUCGGAAAUCGCUCGUUGAGUGCAAUGGCAGAAGCCAGCCUGACUGCGAGACUGACAAGUCGAGCAGAGUCGAAAGACGGCCAUAGUGAUCCGGUGGUCCCGAGUGGAAGGGCCAUCGCUCAACGGAUAAAAGGUACGCCGGGGAUAACAGGCUGAUACUGCCCAAGAGUCCAUAUCGACGGCAGUGUUUGGCACCUCGAUGUCGGCUCAUCUCAUCCUGGGGCUGGAGCAGGUCCCAAGGGUACGGCUGUUCGCCGUUUAAAGAGGUACGUGAGCUGGGUUUAGAACGUCGUGAGACAGUUCGGUCCCUAUCUGCCGUGGGUGUAGGAUACUUGAGAGGAGUUGCCCCUAGUACGAGAGGACCGGGGUGAACGAUCCACUGGUGGACCUGUUGUUGCGCCAGCAGCAGUGCAGGGUAGCUAUGAUCGGACAGGAUAACCGCUGAAGGCAUCUAAGCGGGAAGCCCCCCUCAAAACAAGGUAUCCCUGAGAGCCGUGGAAGACCACCACGUCGAUAGGCCGGAGAUGUAAGCGCAGUAAUGCGUUCAGUUGACCGGUACUAAUGGCUCGAUAGGCUUGAUUUG
rnacentral:rRNA from 1 species